rnacentral:rRNA from 1 species
GAUGAACGCUAGCGGCAGGCCUAACACAUGCAAGUCGAGGGAGGAGCUUUCGGGCUUCGACCGGCGUACGGGUGCGUAACGCGUAUACAAUCUGCCUUUCACAUAGGGAUAGCCCGAAGAAAUUUGGAUUAAUACCUAAUGGUAUAUAGGAGUGGCAUCACAUUUAUAUUAAAGCUAAGGCGGUGAAAGAUGAGUAUGCGUUCUAUUAGCUAGUUGGAGAGGUAACGGCUCCCCAAGGCGACGAUAGAUAGGGGUUCUGAGAGGGAUAUCCCCCACACUGGUACUGAGAUACGGACCAGACUCCUACGGGAGGCAGCAGUGAGGAAUAUUGGACAAUGGUCGGAAGACUGAUCCAGCCAUGCCGCGUGCAGGAAGACGGCCUUAUGGGUUGUAAACUGCUUUUGCAGGGGAAGAAUAAGGACUACGCGUAGUUUGAUGACGGUACUCUGCGAAUAAGCAUCGGCUAACUCCGUGCCAGCAGCCGCGGUAAUACGGAGGAUGCGAGCGUUAUCCGGAAUCAUUGGGUUUAAAGGGUCCGUAGGCGGGCUAAUAAGUCAGAGGUGAAAGCGCUCAGCUCAACUGAGCAACUGCCUUUGAAACUGUUAGUCUUGAAUGGUUGUGAAGUAGUUGGAAUGUGUAGUGUAGCGGUGAAAUGCUUAGAUAUUACACAGAACACCGAUAGCGAAGGCAUAUUACUAACAAUUAAUUGACGCUGAUGGACGAAAGCGUGGGGAGCGAACAGG